UACGGGGGGGGCUAGCGUUGUUCGGAAUUACUGGGCGUAAAGGGCUCGUAGGCGGCCAACUAAGUCCGACGUGAAAUCCCCAGGCUUAACCUGGGAACUGCGUCGGAUACUGGAUGGCUUGAAUCCGGGAGAGGGAUGCGGAAUUCCAGGUGUAGCGGUGAAAUGCGUAGAUAUCUGGAGGAACACCGGUGGCGAAGGCGGCAUCCUGGACCGGCAUUGACGCUGAGGAGCGAAAGCCAGGGGAGCAAACGGG
rnacentral:rRNA from 1 species